CGUGUAGGCGGGAAUACAAGUUAGAUGUGAAAGCCCAAGGCUUAACCUUGGGACUGCAUCUAAAACUGUGUUUCUUGAGUGCUGGAGAGGAAAGCGGAAUUCCUAGUGUAGCGGUGAAAUGCGUAGAUAUUAGGAGGAACACCAGUGGCGAAGGCGGCUUUCUGGACAGUAACUGACGCUGAGGCGCGAAAGCGCGGGGAGCAAACAGGAUUAGAUACCCUGGUAGUCCGCGCUGUAAACGAUGGAUACUAGGUGUAGGGGGUAUCAAUUCCCUCUGUGCCGCAGUUAACACAAUAAGUAUCCCACCUGGGGAGUACGGCCGCAAGGUUGAA
rnacentral:rRNA from 1 species